rnacentral:rRNA from 1 species
UACGGAGGGUGCAAGCGUUAAUCGGAAUUACUGGGCGUAAAGCGUGCGUAGGCGGUUCGUUAAGUCUGUUGUGAAAGCCCCGGGCUCAACCUGGGAAUGGCAAUGGAUACUGGCGAGCUAGAGUGUGUCAGAGGAUGGUGGAAUUCCCGGUGUAGCGGUGAAAUGCGUAGAGAUCGGGAGGAACAUCAGUGGCGAAGGCGGCCAUCUGGGACAACACUGACGCUGAGGCACGAAGGCGUGGGGAGCGAACGGG